UGCAAGUCGAACGGGAUUAUUUCUAGUAGCAAUACCGGGAAUAAUUUAGUGGCGAACGGGUGCGUAACACGUGGGCAAUCUGCCGAAAAGUGGGGGAUAGCUCGCCGAAAGGCGAAUUAAUACCGCAUGUGGUGAGGGACGACAUCUUCCUGAAUCCAAAGCCGGGGUAACCUGGCGCUUUUUGAGGAGCCCGCGGCCUAUCAGCUAGUUGGUGAGGUAACGGCUCACCAAGGCUAUGACGGGUAGCUGGUCUGAGAGGACGACCAGUCACACUGGAACUGAGACACGGUCCAGACACCUACGGGUGGCAGCAGUCGAGAAUUUUUCUCAAUGGGGGAAACCCUGAAGGAGCGACGCCGCGUGGAGGAUGAAGGCUUUCGGGUUGUAAACUCCUGUCAUUUGAGAACAAGUGUAGCUAAGUAACUACUGGCUACUUGAUAGUAUCAGAAGAGGAAGGGACGGCUAACUCUGUGCCAGCAGCCGCGGUAAUACAGAGGUCCCAAGCGUUGUUCGGAUUCACUGGGCGUAAAGGGUGCGUAGGCGGUCGGGUAAGUCUGAUGUGAAAUCUCUGGGCUCAACCCAGAAAUGGCAUUGGAUACUAUUCGGCUUGAGGUCUGGAGGGGGGACUGGAAUUCUCGGUGUAGCAGUGAAAUGCGUAGAUAUCGAGAGGAACACCAGUGGCGAAGGCGAGUCCCUGGACAGGUCCUGACGCUGAGGCACGAAAGCUAGGGGAGCAAACAGGAUUAGAUACCCUGGUAGUCCUAGCCGUAAACGGUGCUUAUUUGCUGUAAAAGGAAUCGACCCCUUUUGUGGCGUAGCCAACGCGUUAAAUAAGCCGCCUGGGAAGUACGGUCGCAAGAUUAAAACUCAAAGAAAUUGACGGGGGCCUGCACAAGCGGUGGAGUAUGUGGCUUAAUUCGAUGCAACG
rnacentral:rRNA from 1 species